GCGGGCGGCCCCGUGCUGCAUUGCUGGUGCAUUGCACGUGUGCGCAGCAGGUGCAGUGCCUCGGCAGUGCAGCCCGGAGCCGGCCCCUGACACCG
ensembl:miRNA